GGUCUGCGUAGAAACCCGGCGGAUCGCGUGGCCUCGUAAAUCCCCCAGACAUUACUGAUGUAGAUGCUUUGGCCGGCUGCCAUGGGAAAAUCGCACACAAAUAGAAGAAGGGCGGGGGGAGCACAUUCACUCUCGAAUUCUGGUGGGUUCUGGGCUCCGUGUGUUUGGAUCUGUAAACGGAGGGGGUUGGGCUCGCCACGAUGAUCAUUUAAGGUCCCUCACAGCUUGGACUUUCUCAGAUUCCACUUCCCUCCGGAGGGCCGCCCGGAGCUCUCCCUGUCCGGCUCAGGGACGGGGGUCUGCGGAAACAGAAACAGGGGGAAGAUCUCCGGCUGAAAAUCCGGAAGCUUCUCCAGCAUAUCCUAUGGGCUCCUUCACAGAAAGAAGAUGAGAUCGCUCGCUUGGAAUGCAGCGUGGCUCUGGUCUUCGGGCUCUCGGGCAUGAAUUGUGACGCUUGUCUGUAAACCUCGUUCCCUUGGACACGUCCUUACAGGAGCUGAUAACGAAUGAAGGAAUCAGUGUUUCACGGGACACAUUUUGGGAAAUGCUCCUUUCAGCCAAAAGAGUGUCCGGACCCUUGCACAGUUUCCAUUGCUGAUGGGACCUUCUGAGCACUGUCAACAUACCCACAGAGAAGGGGUUUCCAACUCACGUAAUCACACUCUCCAGUCAGAUGUGGAACAAGAAAAUACUUCCCAGAAAUGCAAAGAAGAAAACAAACCAAGUUCAUUGCCUUGGGUAACAUGAGUUCUUGCCCAUUUGAAAUGGGAUCUUAAUCUUCCUAGAAGAUCUCUUUCUAGAUUUCUUCUAGAAAGAGAGGACACGCCAUACCUUAGACAGUGUAGUUACGGGCAGGUGCUCUAUCACCUGGUACUGAGUCCCACUGCCAUCUACAAGAUUUAACAAUCAGUUGUAAGAACAUCUAACGUGAAGAAAUGUUUAAGAACUCAAGGGGUCUCUUGGGAUUGGAGGUCCAUCCAUUCCUGGAAAGGUUGAGAUAAGUCACGUGAUGCCUUUUCUGUAACCCCAACAUUUCUCCAAGGAAAUCUUUGAAGUAAAAAGUUCACAAAAGAGUAGACUGAGGACUGCAGCGGAGACAGUGGGGGGGGGGGGGGGCGGGGGGAUGUUCCAUGGUUCCCUUCACUGUAGAGGCUGUUGGGAACAGGGGUUCAGUAAAGCAGACUGGAAUUUCCAGGAUCUGGUGCACGGAUAAUGUUCUUUCACCUUUGGAUGUGUCCUUAGGUGACUGGACAGUGAGUAGCAGGUCUCAAAGAAGAGUCUGAUAUAGCAUCUGCCCUAGACCAGGAAGGAUGGGGCCAGGGCCCAGGAAACGGGUCUAGGCCCAGAGCGAACAUCUUUGUCCUCAGUUCUGUUAAAAGAUGGUGUCGGGGCGCCUGGGUGGCUCAGUCAAUUGGGCAUCCGCCUUUGGUUCCGGUCAUGAUCUUGCAGUUUGUGAGUUUUGGCCCCGUGUU